rnacentral:rRNA from 1 species
CUUNCGAGAUAGCCANGCANGUCUAGUACAUGCCGUAUUAAGGCGAAACCGCGAAUGGCUCAUUAAAUCAGUCAUGGUUCCUUGGAUCGUACCUUACUACUUGGAUAACUGUGGCAAUUCUAGAGCUAAUACAUGCAGCAGAGCUCCGACCUUCGGGGACGAGCGCUUUUAUUAGACCAAAACCAAUCGGACCUCGUGUCCGUCUCUUGUGGUGACUCUGUAUAACUUUGGGCUGAUCGCACGGGCCUGUCCCGGCGACGUAUCUUUCAAGUGUCUGCCUUAUCAACUUUCGAUGGUAGGUUACGCGCCUACCAUGGUCGUAACGGGUAACGGGGAAUCAGGGUUCGAUUCCGGAGAGGGAGCCUGAGAAACGGCUACCACAUCCAAGGAAGGCAGCAGGCGCGCAAAUUACCCACUCCCAGAACGGGGAGGUAGUGACGAAAAAUAACAAUACGGGACUCUUUUGAGACCCCGUAAUUGGAAUGAGUACACUCUAAAUCCUUUAACGAGGAUCCAUUGGAGGGUAAGUCUGGUGCCAGCAACCGCGGUAAUUCCAGCUCCAAUAGCGUAUAUUAAAGUUGUUGCGGUUAAAAAGCUCGUAGUUGGAUCUCAGUUCCAGACGGGUGGUCCUCCUACCGGUGGUUACUGCCUGUUCUGAACAGUCAGCCGGUUUCUCUUGAUGAUCUUCACCGGUUGUCUUGGGUGACGGGCAAGUUUACUUUUGAAAAAAUUAGAGUGCUCAAAGCAGGCGUGACGCCUGAAUAAUGGUGCAUGGAAUAAUGGAAUAGGACCUCGGUUCUAUUUUGUUGGUUUUCGGAACACGAGGUAAUGAUAAGAGGGGACAGACGGGGGCAUUCGUAUUGCGACGCUAGAGGUGAAAUUCUUGGACCGUCCCAAGACGACUACUGCGAGNUUUUUNNCCCAGAGAA